AUUGAACGCUGGCGGCGUGCCUAACACAUGCAAGUCGAGCGGUAACAGGUGUAGCAAUACAUGCUGACGAGCGGCGAACGGGUGAGUAAUGCUUCGGAAUCUGCCCAUGUAGUGGGGAAUAACCAGCCGAAAGGUUGGCUAAUACCGCAUACGACCUACGGGUGAAAGCAGGGGAUCGCAAGACCUUGCGCUAUUGGAUGAGCCGAAGUCGGAUUAGCNGUUGGUAGGGUAACGGCCUACCAAGGCGACGAUCCGUAGCUGGUCUGAGAGGACGACCAGCCACACUGGGACUGAGACACGGCCCAGACUCCUACGGGAGGCAGCAGUGGGGAAUCUUGCGCAAUGGGCGAAAGCCUGACGCAGCGACGCCGCGUGAGGGAUGACGGCCUGGUGU
rnacentral:rRNA from 1 species